GGGCCGAAGGCGGAACGGUGACGCUCCGGACUGCAAAUCCGGCGUAGCGGGUUCAAUUCCCGCUCGGCCCUCCA
rnacentral:tRNA from 1 species